CAGAUUAUAAUUUAUAAAAAAUAUUAGCUUUGGAAGCUAAAAAUCGGUUACACCGUAAUCUGA
rnacentral:tRNA from 1 species